GACGAACGCUGGCGGCGUGCUUAACACAUGCAAGUCGUACGGUAAGGCCCUUUCGGGGGUACACGAGUGGCGAACGGGUGAGUAACACGUGCGUAACCUGCCCACAACUUUGGGAUAACGCUAGGAAACUGGUGCUAAUACUGGAUAUGUGCUCCUGCUGCAUGGUGGGGGUUGGAAAGCUCCGGCGGGUGUGGAUGGACUCGCGGGCUAUCAGCUUGUUGGUGGGGUAGUGGACUACCAAGGCGGCGACGGGUAGCCGGCCUGAGAGGGUGACCGGCCACACUGGGACUGAGAGAAGGCCCAGACUCCGACGGGAGGCAGCAGUGGGGAAUAUUGCACAAUGGGCGCAAGCCGGAUGCAGAAACGCCGCGGGCGGGAUGACGGCCUUCGGGUUGAAAACCGCUUUCAGCAGGGACGAAGCUUUUUGUGACGGUACCUGCAGAAGAAGCACCGGCUAACUACGUG
rnacentral:rRNA from 1 species